UGUCAUUUUCUCUAUGGUUGGUCAUCGUC
rnacentral:piRNA from 1 species